AAAACAAGCUGAAAUAACUCGGUCAAUGGCAGAAAUAAAUCGUUCACGUUGGUUGCUGGGCUGGUUAGUGGUAUCUUAGUGAUAGUUCUCCUGCCAUUAUUGCUGCUGUGUUGGUAUACAAAAGCAAAGGAUACAUGUUGUCACAGGCUCAUCCAGUCUCAGAGAACCAAUCAGAGCUCCACUACAGUCCAAACUGUCAACCAAGAUGAAACUCAACAGCAACUAUACUCCUCUCUUCUCCAUGGUGAUGUUUGUGUCUACGAAACAAUCGUCAGCUCUGGGAACACUCGAUGUGGUGAACAAGCAGAUGAAUACGGAAAUGGCACAUCUAAGAUUCAGCUCAAAGAUUUUGGAAAGAGGAGAAUGAUGCGUGAUGAUACAGCGGCG